rnacentral:rRNA from 1 species
CCUGGCGGCAGUAGCGCGGUGGUCCCACCUGACCCCAUGCCGAACUCAGAAGUGAAACGCCGUAGCGCCGAUGGUNAUUGGUGCAGAAAAAA